AUCGUUAAACUGUCAUUUACAAAAGCAAAACAAACCGGAAUUAUAAGGAUUUGCUCAAAGAUUUUCGUAUUAAUUUAUUUUGUAUUAUUGGUAACGAUUGCAUACUUCGGCCGUAAAUUCAUCAAUUUUAAUUCUUAUUUGUAAUUAGUGUGCCGUAUUGUUUGUAUCCUUUGCACAAUUCGGGACAGCAGUUUAAUCAAAGACAAAUGAAUUAAUCGAGCCAAGUCAAGACUGAUACUAUCGUUUGAAAGAAACUAAAGAAGUAAAAUGGAAUCAGUGAUGUUGGGAUGUUUGGCCGAGGAAGAGGCGCCAAUACGAUUGAUACGACGAAAUUUAAGAAAUAAUUUGAAAUUAAUGGAUCUUCCUGACCAGUUAUUUGUGAAGCAUUUUCGUUUAUCUAAAAGCGCGUUUCAAUACGUCCUUCGAGAAAUUGAAAACGAUUUCCCGUCUACUAGAAAAACUGGUCUCUCUCCAAUGGAAAAAUUAGCCGCAACUCUUCGGUUUUUAGCAGAGGGUAGCUAUCAGCACGGAACUGGACAAGACUUCAACGUGGCUCUGUCGCAGUCAACAUUCUCUAAAGUUCUUGCUGAAACGCUCUUAAUAAUGGAACGUAGACUCUGCCCAGCAUGGAUAUCGCUUGAGAUGACGGAAGAAGAGAAACGCCAAGCAAAAAUAUAUUUCUAUGAAAAAUCUGAAAUUCCAGGCAUCAUUAUGUGCGUGGAUGGAACACACGUAAAAAUAAUUCCCCCGGCGAAAGAUAGAAACUUAUAUUACAAUAGGAAAGGAUAUUAUAGUUUAAACGCAUUAGUCGUAAGUAUGACGUAAAGUUGAUAGAGAAUUACAGUCGAGUGAGCAGCCAAUAUAUGCAGAAUUGUCCAAUAUUCUAUUUAAUUUUCUUUAUGCAUAGGGUCCCAGUUAAGCUCAGCCGGGAAUGAACCGGAAUUCCGGCUGGCUCCAGUUCGUGUUCCGACUACAGUGACACAACCGAUUCUAGUCCAGAUCGCUAAUUGCAAACAGCAAGAAGACAACAUUGAACUGAUGCUAAUUAAGCUAUUUAAGUGUGUUUAAAUAGUGAUCCCCUUACGCACAUAAGAUUAGCUUUUCUAGGCAAUACUCCCACGGUCGGCGGUGUAGAGUUCAAAUUGCUUUUGAAUAGACAACAUAGAAUAUACUCGGUAGCCGGCUACCCCGAGUUUAAAAAGAACCAAAAACUAAACAAGAUCUAUUCUUUUUCGAGUGAUCAUGUACUCAAAGACUAGCUAAACAAAUACCUAAUAAACUAUGCUUUACAGAUCGCAUCGCUAGCUUGGAGCGAAUCCUAGACCUUACACCCAUCCAAACUACCACUCCGCAACACCUAUGGAAGAGCCUGAUGAAUCGUCUACCUUCCGUUAAGUAGGUAGAGCCUCAA